UGAUCCAGAGUACCACGAGACACGUGAAACCUUGUGGGAAGCAGGGAGGACCACCUCCCAAGGCUAAAUACUACCUGAUGACCGAUAGUGAAGCAGUACCGUGAGGGAAAGGUGAAAAGAACCCCGGGAGGGGAGUGAAAUAGAACCUGAAACCGUGUGCCUACAACCGCUCAGAGCCCCUUAUGAGGGUGAUGAGGUGCUUUUUGUAGAACGAGCCAACGAGUUACGGUAUGUAGCAAGGUUAAGUACUUAAGGUACGGAGCCGAAGGGAAACCGAGUCUGAAUAGGGCGACUAGUUGCAUGCCGUAGACCCGAAACCGGGUGACCUAUCCAUGGCCAGGUUGAAGCGAGGGUAAAACCUCGUGGAGGACCGAACCACGUUGCUGUUGAAAAAGCAUGGGAUGAGCUGUGGAUAGCGGAGAAAUUCCAAUCGAACCCGGAGAUAGCUGGUUCUCUCCGAAAUAGCUUUAGGGCUAGCGUCGAGUAUGAGUAGUGGAGGUAGAGCACUGAAUGGGCUAGGGGGCAUAGCGCUUACCGAACCUUAUCAAACUCCGAAUGCCACAUACUUUGAGCUCGGCAGUCAGACUACGAAUGAUAAGAUCCGUGGUCAAAAGGGAAACAGCCCAGAUCGUCAGCUAAGGUCCCAAAGUGUAAGUUAAGUGGGAAAGGAUGUGAGAUUUCUAAGACAACUAGGAUGUUGGCUUAGAAGCAGCCAUUCAUUAAAAGAGUGCGUAAUAGCUCACUAGUCGAGAGAUCUUGCGCCGAAAAUGUAACGGGGCUAAACUUACCACCGAAGCUACGGGCUUGAACAUAGUUCAAGCGGUAGGAGAGCGUCGUAACCGGGCUGAAGUCGUACCGUAAGGAGCGGUGGACUGGUUACGAGUGAGAAUGUUGGCAUCAGUAGCGAGAUGUGGGUGAGAAUCCCACAGGCCGAAAACCUAAGGUUUCCUCAGGAAGGUUCGUCCGCUGAGGGUUAGUCGGGACCUAAGCCGAGGCCGAAAGGCGUAGGUGAUGGACAACUGGUUGAUAUUCCAGUACCACUACCAUCGUUAUUAUCGAUGGCGUGACGCAGGAGGAUAGUGUGUGCUAGCUAUUGGAUGCUAGUCUAAGCGUUUAGGCAGUGAGAGUAGGCAAAUCCGCUCUCAUAAUGCUGAGGCGUGAUGGGGAAGGUUCUACGGAACCGAAGUACAUGAUUCCACGCUGCCAAGAAAAGCGUCUAGAGAGAGAAGUAGUGCCCGUACCGCAAACCGACACAGGUAGGUGAGGAGAGAAUCCUAAGGCCGGCGGAAGAAUUACAGUUAAGGAACUCGGCAAAUUGACCCCGUAAGUUCGCGAGAAGGGGUGCCUACGAGAGUAGGCCGCAGAGAAUAGGCCCAAGCAACUGUUUAGCAAAAACACAGGUCUCUGCUAAAGCGUAAGCUGAUGUAUAGGGGCUGACGCCUGCCCGGUGCUGGAAGGUUAAGGGGAACACUUAGCGCAAGCGAAGGUGUGAACUUAAGCCCCAGUAAACGGCGGCCGUAACUAUAACGGUCCUAAGGUAGCGAAAUUCCUUGUCAGGUAAGUUCUGACCCGCACGAAUGGCGUAAUGACUUGGGCACUGUCUCAACUGUAAAUCCGGCGAAGUUGUAGUGCGAGUGAAGAUGCUCGCUACCCGCGAUUGGACGGAAAGACCCCGUAGAGCUUUACUGUAGCUUAGCAUUGAGUUUUGGUAUUGUCUGUACAGGAUAGGUGGGAGACUAGGAAACCAGGGCGUCAGCCUUGGUGGAGUCAACCUUGGGAUACCACCCUGACAGUACUGAAAUUCUAACUGGCGGCCAUGAAUCUGGUCACAGGACAUUGUUAGGUGGGCAGUUUGACUGGGGCGGUCGCCUCCUAAAAAGUAACGGAGGCGCCCAAAGGUUCCCUCAGAACGGUCGGAAAUCGUUCGAAGAGUGCAAAGGCAGAAGGGAGCCUGACUGCGACACCCACAAGUGGAGCAGGGACGAAAGUCGGGCUUAGUGAUCCGGUGGUACCUCGUGGGAGGGCCAUCGCUCAACGGAUAAAAGCUACCUCGGGGAUAACAGGCUGAUCUCCCCCAAGAGUCCACAUCGACGGGGAGGUUUGGCACCUCGAUGUCGGCUCGUCGCAUCCUGGGGCUGAAGUAGGUCCCAAGGGUUGGGCUGUUCGCCCAUUAAAGCGGCACGCGAGCUGGGUUCAGAACGUCGUGAGACAGUUCGGUCCCUAUCCGUCGCGGGCGUAGGAA
rnacentral:rRNA from 1 species